GACGAACGCUGGCGGCGUGCCUAAUACAUGCAAGUUGAGCGAUGAAGAUUGGUGCUUGCACCAAUUUGAAGAGCAGCGAACGGGUGAGUAACGCGUGGGGAAUCUGCCUUUGAGCGGGGGACAACAUUUGGAAACGAAUGCUAAUACCGCAUAAUAACUUUAAACAUAAGUUUUAAGUUUGAAAGAUGCAAUUGCAUCACUCAAAGAUGAUCCCGCGUUGUAUUAGCUAGUUGGUGAGGUAAAGGCUCACCAAGGCGAUGAUACAUAGCCGACCUGAGAGGGUGAUCGGUCACAUUGGGACUGAGACACGGCCCAAACUCCUACGGGAGGCAGCAGUAGGGAAUCUUCGGCAAUGGACGAAAGUCUGACCGAGCAACGCCGCGUGAGUGAAGAAGGUUUUCGGAUCGUAAAACUCUGUUGGUAGAGAAGAACGUUGGUGAGAGUGGAAAGCUCAUCAAGUGACGGUAACUACCCAGAAAGGGACGGCUAACUACGUG
rnacentral:rRNA from 1 species